rnacentral:lncRNA from 1 species
UGGCCCAACAUGUCAAUGACAACUACUAUUACUUCUGCUACCCUUCUCUCCAUUGAAAUAUGUAUUUUGUUAAACAAAGAGACUGAUACAACAACAAGAAAAAGACAGAUCACCAGGCAAUGGACUGACAUCCAACACUUUGGAUGCUGAAUCAACAGAACUAUGCACCAACUGUAAGAGGACAUAUUUAUGUGCCAUGACUGAUGAGGUUUCAAAGCCUCGGGCAGGCGGGAAUUCACUCUCUCCUCAGCAGCUGCCUCCCAGUUCUUCUCAAGAAGAAUUCACCUGUAAUACAAAAGAGUUCUAUCAUUGAAAGAUCAUGUCCCAAGUUGCAGAAAUGCUUCACUACAAGCUAAUCUGAAUAACUUGUUAUAAAUGCAUGUCUCCUGCUCAUAAUGAUAUUUAGGCUUGCCUAACUUGGUGUAUAUGCAUGGCUUAAUGUGUCUUACAUCUGCAGUUAUAUAAUAUAUUGGUUCUUCAUGAGAUUAUGUCUGAAGCAGAAACAGAACAAGAUAAACACAGAUGAAUUCACAAAGAUCUCAUGGAUUAUGGAUUUUUAAGAGCUUUAAUAUCUAGUCGUCAAAGUUUUCUGUAAGACCUAAAUGCCUGUGUUAAAUACUACUCGGUGGAUGAAGUUUGACUUAAGUAACACAAUAAUUCCGAAGUGCUAUAGCAUAGGAGUAGAAUUCCAAGUUGCCAUCAUUCUAUCCAAGACAAUGUUGACUCCUCCAAGUAAUACGGAGAAAAUGAUGCAAUAGUUUUAGUUUUAUCAUGGUAAAGUAACAUGAUCUAUUUAUGCCACGUACUUGCCCUUAGGUAAGAAGUUCUCACAUUAUGGUGAUUGAUAGGUACCUGGCAAUGGCACCCAUCACAUUGAUCAUGUAUCGUCAACAAUAAGUGUUAUUGGUCAAAGCUAGUUACAGUCAUGAUAAACUCUCUGCAAGCUUCAUAUAAGAUCGCCUUUUUGGUCAAGGAUUUCAUGUAUCAUUUUGGUGUUCAAGUGAAUCAAGCAAAUUACAUCACUGCCUAAAAACUCAGUACAAAUACCAGGAUGGUUUUUUUCCUUUUGAGGAAGCUAAAUCAUCAUCUAGAUAAUUUUUUUACCAUAAACAGAACAUUUAUCUUACCAUGGAGAAAAUUUUGCACCUUUUCUCUUUAGUUUUUGGCUUAUUACAACUGAAGUAGGAGACUGGUUGUCAAAUUUGAAAUGAUCUCUUAUGCAGUUCUUUCAAAUGUGAGAAUCCUAGUUUCCUACUCAAAAAGUUUGAGCAGCCAUGGUGCAAGAACUAGUGUCGUCUUUUGUAAUAUCUUCAAUGCCUCACAUAGCAUCUUGGAAACUUCUACAAGCAAAGAUAAGCCUCAUCAUAUGAUAGUAGGCGGCAAGAUAUUCAAUUUGACGUCUCUUCCUUGGUCAUGCACAAAAACACAAGAACUUCGAAUGGAAUUUGCGAGAUGAUGCAAGAAUCUUGGUGUCACUCGCAACAACAACCACAGGAUUCAAAUGCACCAAGAGUCAGAUGAAAGCUCACGCUUAUUUCUGACCAUGCAUAACCCAACAUGCCAUUAAGACACAACCACAUUUUAAACAUGCUGAAGGAAGAUAUCAAUUCCCAAAUUGUUGUAGAAACAGGACCAUUAUCUAUAAUUGUGUCAUUUUCUGAGGGUGUUUCCUUCACACGAAGCUUCCUUUGGUCUUGGAAAGUUGAUAACAUGAUUGUGCAGCAGAAAGCUUCUCUCAAAAGAUUUUGGCCAGGAUGACUAUUCAGCAACAUCAUAGUCUCACUCAGACAUUGACUCAAGACAUUUUCUCUACCUUUGGUUUUUUUUUUCUAGCAAAUAAGGGACAUCUUUGAUAACCAUUAUUCAAUUAACGCAUCUCCAUCUCUCAGGAUCUCUAAAGAUUAAUAUAAGAAUAUCCGUCCGUUGUCUUUUGACUAUGCUUUUCAACCUUUAGGCCCCAACGUUUCAGCUUGAACGACACUUGUGGGGAAGCCCUACCAUUUGAAGAUCUAAUUCUCAUGAACUUUUGUUACUCAAGUUGACAUUCUUGAAUUUGCUUUUUCAAAUACUAGCUUGUGUUGGUGUCUCACUCUAAGAUGGAACAUUCACGUACACAUGUAUUUUUCCAUGGCAUAAUUUCAGCAGAUCAUUUAGCCCAGUUCAUUUUAACAUAAAAGUAAAAAGGUAAUUAUUAUUUGAACAAAUGCCUGAUUGUUUCUACAUCCUUAAGUCCGUGAUUGAGUGGUCAUCUAAGGUGCCUUAUCAAAACUAAUUGAACUCUUGCUGAAUCAAUUUUGGUUACUGAAAUCAGCAUUCUUGCAUCUGUUUGUCCAAGCCAGUUGUGGAUGUGCCUUGCUCGAUGGUGGAAAACUUGCCUUCCAAUGUAUUUAUUCCAUUCUAUAAUUUUAACAGAUCAGUGUAGUACCAUUCAUGUUGGACAUAAUAGUCCAAAAGUAACUAGUUCUAGACAAACUCAUGACUGAUUCUGCAUCCCUGCAUCCAUCACUGAGUGGGUAGUUCGAAGUGUCUUGAUGACGACCACAUUAUUUGAUAUUUCAGUCCAUUAUUUUAAAAUUUGUGCCUUUGCAUUGGUGCUUCUUACAUGAAUUAUCCUUUGGGCUUAACUAUUAUAGUUUCGAGCAUGAAGUGUAGGCAAAACUUCAAAUAAGUUUUAAUUUUCUCAAGGCCUUUCAAAUACCCCUAAUGUUAUAACUCUUAUUGAGAAACAAGAAAAAUACCAAGUUGUCUUGCUGAACCAGAAAGCAGCAUUUUAUUUUCCAGGAGAUCAAAUAAUUUUUUAGGAGAUCUUCAUUUCUUUCUUCUUCUUUCGCAAAGGUAGUACGAAUCAAGUGCAAUGAUUUUUUUUUCCUGCCUUGAAAAGCGACAUAUGAGUUCAAUAACUUGGUAUUGUAGUAUCCAUGAACCCUGUAACUAAUUAUGAUUUGUUCUCAUUGUAGUACUGAUUUUUUCUCUCUCUUUUCUUUUUCUUUGUUGUUCUCCAGGACAUCACUUUUGGACUUAACUACAGUAUUGUAAUUCAUAUCAAAAUUAGAAAUAACAACUUAAAACUAAAACAAGUUGCAUUGAAAGCCACCACAUGUACCAAAAAGCUCUAGAAUUCAGAAUUCUAUAUGAUUUUUGAAAAACGUUAUGUAGAUACAUGGUGGUAAAAGGGGCUAAUUCCAGAUUACCCCUUGUAUUUGGACCCUAUUAAUAUCGCGGUCCUUGCACUUAAAAUUUAUAAUGAGAUCCUUAUAGUUCUAAAAGUGAAACAAAUGACCCCAUUUUCCUUAACGUCAUUGACUGCACUGACAGAAGAUAUUGCACGUGGAAUCAUGUGCUGGAUUGGCAAAAAAUCUAUAGGCAAAACGGUAAUUUCAAUGUCCCUUUCAUUUCCUUUUGUUUUGCCCAAAUUAAAAGGUAAUUUCAACAUAACGACCAAUACUACCGGACGUUGCCAUCUCUGUCUCCACCUACUCUGUUCUCUGUCCCAAUAAGCAAAAAAGAGGCUCAUUUCUCUUUAUAGGAUUCAAGCACAAGAGACAAUUUUGUGUAAUAACAUGACUCAGAAUGUUGUCUUCUCUUAAAAGCGAUUAUACUGAAACCACAUAAAUAAUCUCCAUAUAAACCCAAUAUAAUAACAUGUCAUGUAAUCUAUCACAACAAAACAUUUUCAAACCAUCCUCAUCAAGCAGAUAAGUUGUGGCUACUGUUCGGACAGGAAAGGAGAGCAUACUCUUGUUGGACAUUGUAGUGGCAGCAAUAGCGGUCACUGCAUGGCGAAUGAAGACACCGCGAGAGCUCACGAAAGGGACGGAACUGGAGGCGAGGACAAAGAUGGAAAGAGUCAUGAAGCAUGGGAGAAGAGGAGGGGAGAUGGAGGAGCGGAGGUAAGCUCCGGAAGGGGCUACGAGUGGACGGGGAGGCAAGCAGCAGAGGGUGACAGAGAGAUGUUGAAAUUACCUUUUUGCCCAUCGAUUUCGCGCCAGUCCAAUAUGUGAUGUCACGUGCUGUGUCUUUCGUUAGUUGCAAUCAACGACAUUAGAGAAAAUGAGAUCAUUUGUUUCACUUUUAGGACUAUAGGAAUCUUAAUAUAAAUUUUUAAAAUACAGAGACUAUGAUGCUAAUAGGGUCCGAGUACAGAAAAUAGUAUGCAAUUAACCCUAGUAAAAGAUAUCCUCUAUACUAAAAGGUUCUUUGGAUACAUACUCCAUCAAGACCGGCAUUGAGGAUUCCCACCACCAUGUUCUUAUAUCUUGGCUUAACUUAGAAAAGGGAGGAAAGUUACGUAGCAUACUCUCUCCACACAAUAACUUGGCAGAAGCACCCAUAUCCGUAGUAGGCAUAUCCAGUGAAAGUUAUAUGUUGACCUUUAGAAAAGAUGUCAAUCUUAAGGAUUUCACAUGGUGACAAAGGUUUGUCAAUAUGAUUGGUUCCUUUUUUUAAUCUCGGGUGCCUUGAUACCAAGAAUCUAAACAUGAGGUUUUAGCAGGACAUCUACAAUUAGACAAUUAAAUGAGGUCAGAUACAUAACAAACACCCUAUUUAGGAUCCCUACUACAACAAUAAUUUGAGAAUUUUACUAUUAUAGCUCAGCAAGCUUAAAGGUGAUUUCCUAAAUGUAGUAAGAAGUUUCCGACUGUUUCAAGGAAUUAUUACCAAGCUAUUAAAUACAAUUAGGAACAGGACAUCUCUAAAUCCAGGAGAUAUUCAACUGAUACUAGCAUUACUUAUAAAAUUAUUUUGUCCCCAUGAAAGAGAACCAACAAAAAUUAAUAUGAUUCAAAUAAAACAUACAAGCACCAGCUGAUGAUGAAUAAUGAGAGCAUGAGUGUAUACGGCAGCAAUAUUCAGAUAGAUAAAGUAACUCUGCAGUCUACAAUACCUUUGAAAGGGUUAAAAUUCAGCAGAUCCAUGGGCCAUGCUGCUGUCUCAUAUUUCUUGCAGGUUUCAUUGCCUCAAAGAGCCAUGAUGCUGGACUCUUGGUUCUUGUAGUCCGAGAUACUUGAUUAAAUUUUAGUACAUUCAAUACUGCAGAAAAGAGCUAAGUAAUCAGACCAUCGAUGAAUAAUUUGGAAGACAACAACAAUCUGCAGUUAUGCUGACGAGGCAAAAGUAUCAAUCAAAUAAAAGUAUGCAUUGUUGACGUUCAUUUUGUGGAGACAGUAUAAGCUAUUGCAGACACAGUUUAAUCAUAUAUGCUCGAGGCCAAGAAUGCAAUCCAAUUAUGAUGGCACACCAAAACACUCAUGUACUGCAAAAACUGUAUGAAGUUUCAAUCAUGAACAACAAGAUCAGAACAUGUAAAUAUCUAAAUAACAAGAUAUCCAAAAUGUACUGAAAGCAUACCCAAAUGUACAAUUGAAAUUCCAAGUGUAUUAAACAUAUAUUUAUGUUUAAAGUUAUCCAGCAAUUACUUCUUUGAUAAACCAUUGUACAGAAAAUUAGUAAACUCAAAACUUAUCGCCUUACAUAAAACUUUCAAGAUAUCUGAUAAACACUAGUUAUUUAUGUACCUUGAACACUUAGAGAAUUUCACCCUAUGGAUGCUUAGUAUGCUUGUCCAUUCAAGUAAAGUUACACACAACCAUGCCCGUAAGUAGUCAAGUAUUAGUGCGAAAGACAAAUCAGUUCUAGUGCAGCAGUUUGAUUCACAGCAUGACUAAAAUGGAGAAAUAGAAAAUUUUGGAACAUUAUUGAACAACAAAGAUCUUUGAAAAGACAUAUAUCAUGAGGCCCUGCCUUAAUUUAUUAGCGAAGAAAGGUGAAACCUUGAUGGGAAAGGAGUGAUGAUCCUCGCAGAAACUCCAGGCUUUGAGCUACAGACUCUGCUGCCAUCCUCGCAGAAAGGAGUGAUUUAUUCUACUUUCUCUACUUUAUUUCUGAGUAUUCUAUUCAUUGUGGUUUCGAGCCUCAAUAUCCUGACUUUUGCAAAUUAGGCGAUCUUCUAUCCUAUUUUCUAGUUUCAAUGUGACUGGUUCCUGCUGAUCCAAUCUUGUUAUUCUCAAUUAAAUUGGUUCUUUUACACAAUACAACAAUCUGAUCCUUCUUUGAGAACUGUGCAGCAGCAUCUCGUGCCACCAGCCAUAUCUGCACUUACAAUAGGUGUUCUCUUCAUCAGCGAUGGUGCCAAAUAUCCUGGCUAAGAAGGAUUCUGGCUGAGU